rnacentral:rRNA from 1 species
AACGAACGCUGGCGGCAGGCUUAACACAUGCAAGUCGAGCGCCCCGCAAGGGGAGCGGCAGACGGGUGAGUAACGCGUGGGAAUCUACCGUGCCCUGCGGAAUAGCUCCGGGAAACUGGAAUUAAUACCGCAUACGCCCUUCGGGGGAAAGAUUUAUCGGGGUAUGAUGAGCCCGCGUUGGAUUAGCUAGUUGGUGGGGUAAAGGCCUACCAAGGCGACGAUCCAUAGCUGGUCUGAGAGGAUGAUCAGCCACAUUGGGACUGAGACACGGCCCAAACUCCUACGGGAGGCAGCAGUGGGGAAUAUUGGACAAUGGGCGCAAGCCUGAUCCAGCCAUGCCGCGUGGGUGAUGAAGGCCCUAGGGUUGUAAAGCUCUUUCACCGGUGAAGAUAAUGACGGUAACCGGAGAAGAAGCCCCGGCUAACUUCGUGCCAGCAGCCGCCGUAAUAC